GACGAACGCUGGCGGCGCGCUUAACACAUGCAAGUCGAACGGAAAGGCCUGCUUUCCCUUGUGGAUUGCGGGUACUCGAGUGGCGAACGGGUGAGUAACACGUGAGUGAUCUGCCCCCAACUUGGGUAUAAGCCUGGGAAACUGGGUCUAAUUCCCGAUAGGACUGCAGGGUGGUGCCUGUGGUGGAAAACGAUUUUCUAGUGGUUGGGGAUGAGCUCGCGGCCUAUCAGCUUGUUGGUGGGGUAAUGGCCUACCAAGGCGGCGACGGGUAGCCGGCCUGAGAGGGUGGACGGCCACAUUGGGACUGAGAUAUGGCCCAGACUCCUACGGGAGGCAGCAGUGGGGAAUAUUGCACAAUGGGCGGAAGCCUGAUGCAGCGACGCCGCGUGGGGGAUGACGGCCUUCGGGUUGUAAACUCCUUUCGACCGCGAGGAAGCCACCUGGUUGGAAGGGUGGUGACGGUAGUGGUAGAAGAAGCACCGGCUAACUACGUG
rnacentral:rRNA from 1 species